rnacentral:rRNA from 1 species
UAUCUCUGUAGAGUCUGCAUAUCAAUAAGCGGAGGAAAAGAAACUAACUAGGAUUCCCUCAGUAACGGCGAGUGAAGCGGGAAGAGCUCAAAUUUGAAAUCUUCAAGGUUUUACCUUGACGAAUUGUAGUUUAAAGAAGUGUUUUCUGUUGGAGUUUUGGUAAAAGUUCUUUGGAAUAGGACAUCAUAGAGGGUGAGAAUCCCGUAUUUGACCAUUAUUUCCAGCUUUGUGAUACACUUUCAAAGAGUCGGAUUGUUUGGGAAUGCAGUCCAAAAUGGGUGGUAAAUUUCAUCUAAAGCUAAAUACUGGCGAGAGACCGAUAGCGAACAAGUACCGUGAGGGAAAGAUGAAAAGAACUUUGAAAAGAGAGUUAAACAGUACGUGAAAUUGUCAAAAGGGAAGCGUUUAACACCAGUGUUGUUUUCUCGAAAAUCAAUUAAAAAUGGCGGGAUUUUGUGUUGUAUUGACUUUAUCAGCUUUCUGCACUCUUUUCCUGUCUUUUUUAAUGCACUUUUCGUUUAACAAGUCAACAUCCAAUUUCUUUUGUUGUAAAAGGGUCAUUGGAAGGUGGCUUUCUUUUCGGAGAAAGUGUUUAUAGCCUUUGCUCUCUGCAAUCGGAGAGAUUGAGGUCUGCAGCGUAGAUCCUUCGGGGUUAGAUACAUUUGUGCUAAGUUAUAACCUUUCAUAGACAACUUGUUGACUAUGAUCAGUCAUGUAGCUUACUCGCUUAUGCUAUUUUACCUACGCUUAGGAUGUUGAGUCAUCACACAUCUCU